GAUGAACGCUAGCGGCAGGCCUAAUACAUGCAAGUCGAACGCGAUUGCGGUGCUUGCACCGCAUGAAAGUGGCGUACGGGUGCGUAACGCGUGAGCAACCUACCGUUGUCUGGGGGAUAGCCCGGAGAAAUCCGGAUUAAUACCGCAUAAUAUUGAGGGGCAGCAUUGCCUUUUGAUCAAACAUUUAUGGGACAGCGAUGGGCUCGCGUGACAUUAGCUAGUUGGAGUGGUAACGGCACA
rnacentral:rRNA from 1 species